GCCGGGUGUGGUGGCUCACGCCUGUAAUCCCAGCACUUUGGGAGGCUGAGAUGGGAGGAUGGCUUGAGGUCAGGAGUUCGAGACCAGCCUGGCCAACAUAGUGAAACCCCGUCUCUA
rnacentral:SRP_RNA from 1 species